CCUACGGGGGGCAGCAGUAGGGAAUAUUGGGCAAUGGAUGCAAGUCUGACCCAGCCAUGCCGCGUGCCGGAAGAAGGUCCUCAGGAUUGUAAACGGCUUUUAUUCGGGAAGAAGAGCAGGGAUGCGUCCUUGUGUGACGGUACCGAAUGAAUAAGCACCGGCUAACUCCGUGCCAGCAGCCGCGGUAAUACGGAGGGUGCGAGCGUUGUCCGGAUUUAUUGGGUUUAAAGGGUGCGUAGGUGGCUGAUUAAGUCAGUGGUGAAAUACAGCCGCUC
rnacentral:rRNA from 1 species